UACGAAGGGGGCUAGCGUUGUUCGGAUUUACUGGGCGUAAAGCGCACGUAGGCGGAUCGAUCAGUCAGGGGUGAAAUCCCAGGGCUCAACCCAGGAACUGCGUCCAAGACUGGGAGGCUUGAAUCCGGGAGAGGGAUGCGGAAUUCCAGGUGUAGCGGUGAAAUGCGCAGAUAUCGGGAGGAACACCGGUGGCGAAGGCGGUUCUCUGGGCCUUACCUGACGCUGAGGAGCGAAAGCAUGGGGAGCGAACAGG
rnacentral:rRNA from 1 species